rnacentral:rRNA from 1 species
GAGUUUGAUCAUGGCUCAGAUUGAACGCUGGCGGCAUGCCUUACACAUGCAAGUCGAACGGCAGCACGGGAGCUUGCUCCUGGUGGCGAGUGGCGAACGGGUGAGUAAUGCAUCGGAACGUAUCCUGGAGUGGGGGAUAACGUAGCGAAAGUUACGCUAAUACCGCAUAUUCUGUGAGCAGGAAAGCGGGGGACCUUCGGGCCUCGCGCUCUUGGAGCGGCCGAUGUCGGAUUAGCUAGUGGUGAGGUAAGGCUCACCAAGGCGACGAUCCGUAGCAGGUCUGAGAGGAUGAUCUGCCACACUGAACUGAGACACGGUCCAGACUCC